rnacentral:rRNA from 1 species
AACGAACGCUGGCGGCAGGCCUAACACAUGCAAGUCGAGCGUCCUCGCAAGGGGGCGCGGCAGACGGGUGCGUAACACGUGGGAACGUACCUCUCGGUUCGGAAUAACCCAGGGAAACUUGGGACAAUACCGGAUACGUGCGAAAGCAGAAAGAUUUAUCGCCGAGAGAUCGGCCCGCGUCCGAUUAGCUAGUUGGUGAGGUAACGGCUCACCAAGGCGACGAUCGGUAGCUGGUCUGAGAGGAUGAUCAGCCACACUGGGACUGAGACACGGCCCAGACUCCUACGGGAGGCAGCAGUGGGGAAUAUUGGACAAUGGGCGCAAGCCUGAUCCAGCCAUGCCGCGUGAGUGAUGAAGGCCCUAGGGUUGUAAAGCUCUUUCGCCAGGGACGAUAAUGACGGUACCUGGAGAAGAAGCCCCGGCUAACUUCGUG